rnacentral:rRNA from 1 species
AUCUUCCGCAAUGGACGAAAGUCUGACGGAGCAACGCCGCGUGAGUGAUGAAGGUNUUNNGAUCGNANAGUUCUGUUGUGAGGNNNNNACAAGUACGAGCGUAACUGCUCGUACCUUGACGGUACCUCAUUAGAAAGCCACGGCUAACUACGUGCCAGCAGCCGCGGUAAUACGUAGGUGGCAAGCGUUGUCCGGAAUUAUUGGGCGUAAAGCGCGCGCAGGCGGCCUUUUAAGUCUGAUGUGAAAGCCCACGGCUCAACCGUGGAAGGUCAUUGGAAACUGGAAGGCUUGAGUACAGAAGAGGAAAGCGGAAUUCCAUGUGUAGCGGUGAAAUGCGUAGAGAUGUGGAGGAACACCAGUGGCGAAGGCGGCUUUCUGGUCUGUAACUGACGCUGAGGCGCGAAAGCGUGGGGAGCAAACA